ACUGGGUUGGCCGAGUGGUUAUGGCGUUGGACUUAAGUUCCAAUGGACAAGUGACCGCGUGGGUUCGAACCCCACACCCAGUA
rnacentral:tRNA from 1 species